rnacentral:tRNA from 1 species
AACUAUGUGGCAGAAUAGUGCACUAGGUUUAAACCCUAAAUAUGAAUCACAAUCCGUAGUUA